rnacentral:rRNA from 1 species
UACGGGGGGAGCAAGCGUUGUUCGGAUUUACUGGGCGUAAAGGGUGCGUAGGCGGUCAGCACAAGUCAGUUGUGAAAUCUCCGAGCUUAACUCGGAAAGGUCAACUGAUACUGUGCGACUAGAGUGCGGAAGGGGCAACUGGAAUUCUUGGUGUAGCGGUGAAAUGCGUAGAUAUCAAGAGGAACACCUGCGGCGAAGGCGGGUUGCUGGGCCGACACUGACGCUGAAGUGCGAAAGCCAGGGGGAGCGAACGGGG